GACGAACGCUGGCGGCGUGCUUAACACAUGCAAGUCGAACGGAAAGGCCCUGCUUGGGGGGUGUGCUCGAGGGGCAAACGGGUGUAUAACGCGUGUAUAACCUGCCCUUGACUUUGGGAAAACUUGGAAACACGGGGUAUUAUACCGGAGAGGCGCCCGUGCUGCGUGGUGGGGGGGGGAGAGUUUCGGCGGUUGGGGGUGGACUCGCGGCUUAUCAGUUUGUGGGUGGGGUAGUGGUUUACCAAGGUUUUGGGGGGUCGCGGGCUUGAGGGGGGGCCCGGCCACAUUGGGACUGAGAUACGGCCAGGAUCCCUACGGGAGGCAGCAGGGGGGAAUAUUGCCAAUUGGGCGGAAGCCGGUUGCAGCAACGCCGGGGGGGGGAGGACGGCCUCCGGGUGGUAACCCGCUUUGGCCUGUGACGAAGCGUGAGUGACGGUAAUGGGUAAAGAAGCACCGGCUAACUACGUG
rnacentral:rRNA from 1 species